rnacentral:rRNA from 1 species
AGUGAACGCUGGCGGUAGGCCUAACACAUGCAAGUCGAACGGCAGCACAGUAAGCGCUUGCUCUUACGGGUGGCGAGUGGCGGACAGGUGAGGAAUACAUCGGAAUCUACUUUUUCGUGGGGGAUAACGUAGGGAAACUUACGCUAAUACCGCAUACGACCUACGGGUGAAAGCAGGGGAUCUUCGCACCUUGCGCGAUUGAAUGAGCCGAUGUCGGAUUAGCUAGUUGGCGGGGUAAAGGCCCACCAAGGCGACGAUCCGUAGCUGGUCUGAGAGGAUGAUCAGCCACACUGGAACUGAGACACGGUCCAGACUCCUACGGGAGGCAGCAGUGGGGAAUAUUGGACAAUGGGCGCAAGCCUGAUCCAGCCAUACCGCGUGGGUGAAGAAGGCCUUCGGGUUGUAAAGCCCUUUUGUUGGGAAAGAAAAGCAGCAGGUUAAUACCCCGCUGUUCUGACGGUACCCAAAGAAUAAGCACCGGCUAACUUCGUG